rnacentral:snRNA from 1 species
AUGCUCUCUUCGGCAGCACAUAGACUAAAAUUGGAACGAUACAGAGAAGAUUAGUAUGGUCCAUGUGCAAGGAUGACUCACAAAUUUGUGAAGCAUUCCAUAUUAAA